AUUAAGAUAGCUUAAAAUUAGAGCUUUGCAUUGAAGCUGCAAUGGUGACUUUGGUCUCUUGAUA
rnacentral:tRNA from 1 species